AACGCACGAGACCUGCGGACCUGCGGAAGGAUCAUUAUUGGAUCUUGGUUUUUUACAAGAGGUUGAGAGCUUUACUGUUCUUGCUUCUUCAAACAAACGAUCACAACAACUAGUAUAGCAGUUGAUUUGGUCUCUGUCUGGUGCGGUUUGUGUGUGUUGGCUGCUGCCAAAUACUCUGCAACAACCGUGCAUAGCGGAGAAGACACCAAAAGUAUUUGCCUGAUAAGAUACAUGGCGUAU
rnacentral:misc_RNA from 1 species